rnacentral:rRNA from 1 species
UACGUAGGGUGCGAGCGUUAAUCGGAAUUACUGGGCGUAAAGCGUGCGCAGGCGGUGAUGUAAGACAGAUGUGAAAUCCCCGGGCUCAACCUGGGAACUGCAUUUGUGACUGCAUCGCUGGAGUGCGGCAGAGGGGGAUGGAAUUCCGCGUGUAGCAGUGAAAUGCGUAGAUAUGCGGAGGAACACCGAUGGCGAAGGCAAUCCCCUGGGCCUGCACUGACGCUCAUGCACGAAAGCGUGGGGAGCGAAACAAGG